rnacentral:pre_miRNA from 1 species
AACCAGUGCAGAAAGGCAUGCCCCAGGAAUCUCUGGGCGAGUAACUCUUUGAGCACAUCACUCUCAAGCAUGGUUAGGCCU